rnacentral:rRNA from 1 species
CAAUAGCGUAUAUUAAAGCUGUUGCGGUUAAAAAGCUCGUAGUUGGAUUUCUGUCAAGGACAACUGGUCCGCCCUCCGGGUGAGCACAUAGUUUGGUCUUGACAUCUUGCUGGAAGCUGUUGCUGCACUUGGCUGUGUGGCGCAGUGUUCAGCGCUUUCACUUUGAGGAAAUUGGAGUGUUUCAAGCAGGCACAUGCCUUUGGACACAGUAGCAUGGAAUAAUUAGAUUGGGCUUUUGCUCCAAUUUGUCGGUUUCUGGAGCUGAGGUGAGUAUUAAUGGGGAUUGUUGGGGGCAUCCGAAUUUAGCCGUCAGAGGUGAAAUUCUUGGAUCUGCUAAAGACGGACAACUGCGAAAGCGUUUGCCCAGGAUGUUUUCAUUGA